rnacentral:rRNA from 1 species
UUAGUGGCGGACGGGUGAGUAACGCGUGGAAAACCUGCCGUAUACUGGGGGAUAACACUUAGAAAUAGGUGCUAAUACCGCAUAAGCGCGCAGCUUCGCAUGAAGCGGUGUGAAAAACUCUGGUGGUAUACGAUGGUUCCGCGUCUGAUUAGCUAGUUGGUGGGGUAAUGGCCUACCAAGGCAACGAUCAGUAGCCGGCCUGAGAGGGUGAACGGCCACAUUGGGACUGAGACACGGCCCAAACUCCUACGGGAGGCAGCAG